UAGAGGUUUAAAAUGUACAAAUACUGCAUUAACUUUGAUCAGAGUUCAAAAUUAAUUCUGUUUUUGUUCUUGUAGUUUAAUGGCACUUAGCAUACGAGAGCUGUGUGAUGUUGAGUGUAAAUUAUUUUAUAAGUUGAAUAAUUUUGGUGUUUCUACAAAAUUAUUAGGAGCUAUAAGAAAUUCCCGAGAGAUUGAUCACCAUCGAUCCAUCGAGCGAGACUCUAAUUGAUAUCCAAAAUGGCCGUUAAGUAGCGAAUGAUGGUGACACUCAAGUUUUCAUCACUGAUAAUAGUGAAAGAAGUGAGACAACGAGUGCUUGUUAUCAUAAAUUUAAACCAGAACGUCGAUCAGCACAAAAAUUAUUGAACUGCUACAAGAAGAGAUGACACGCCCAAUCGUACCGUGAAUAUAGACUUAUGUUACUUCCACAGUUCGAACUCCAGAAAAAAAAAUGGAACUGGGUUCUUGCGUUCAUGAAUCUCCUCUGGAACAUCUUGCUAACGUGACUUAGGUUUCUUCAUGGUUUUUCACAGUACCACCAGGCAAAUGUUGAUUCGACUUAGUAUCCCUAAUUAGAGACAGAAGAGAUACUGUCCAACAUCAAGAUUGAGCCCGAUGACUGCGAACUGGAGCUGCAGAUAGUCCUCAAGAAAGCAUGGAGACUGUUACAGAAUCAAAGCAGAGUGUAGAAAAGGACUCUGAGAGGGAAAUGAUUGAAGAGAAGAAACGUCAGGAAGAAGAAGGCAAACGUGGAGCUUGGAAUGAAGUUUUGAUUGAAAUGAUGAAAAGUUUGGGCAUUGCAAGCACUACAGUGGUCCGACAUCAGACUUCAAAGAAAAGGAGGGCUACAAACCGAAUGUUAAACUCGACUACAUAGAUGAUUGCAAAGGAUGC